GGUUAAGCGACUAAGCGUACACGGUGGAUGCCCUGGCAGUCAGAGGCGAUGAAGGACGUGCUAAUCUGCGAAAAGCGUCGGUAAGGUGAUAUGAACCGUUAUAACCGGCGAUGUCCGAAUGGGGAAACCCAGUGUGAUUCGUCACACUAUCGUUAACUGAAUACAUAGGUUAACGAGGCGAACCGGGGGAACUGAAACAUCUAAGUACCCCGAGGAAAAGAAAUCAACCGAGAUUCCCCCAGUAGCGGCGAGCGAACGGGGAGCAGCCCAGAGUCUGAAUCAGCUUGUGUGUUAGUGGAACGGUCUGGAAAGUCCGACGGUACAGGGUGAUAGUCCCGUACACCAAAAUGCACAGGUUGUGAACUCGAAGAGUAGGGCGGGACACGUGGUAUCCUGUCUGAAUAUGGGGGGACCAUCCUCCAAGGCUAAAUACUCCUGACUGACCGAUAGUGAACCAGUACCGUGAGGGAAAGGCGAAAAGAACCCCGGCGAGGGGAGUGAAAAAGAACCUGAAACCGUGUACGUACAAGCAGUGGGAGCACCUUCGGGUGUGACUGCGUACCUUUUGUAUAAUGGGUCAGCGACUUAUAUUCUGUAGCAAGGUUAACCGUAUAGGGGAGCCGCAGGGAAACCGAGUCUUAACUGGGCGUUAAGUUGCAGGGUAUAGACCCGAAACCCGGUGAUCUAGCCAUGGGCAGGUUGAAGGUUGGGUAACACUAACUGGAGGACCGAACCGACUAAUGUUGAAAAAUUAGCGGAUGACUUGUGGCUGGGGGUGAAAGGCCAAUCAAACCGGGAGAUAGCUGGUUCUCCCCGAAAGCUAUUUAGGUAGCGCCUCGUGAAUUCAUCUUCGGGGGUAGAGCACUGUUUCGGCUAGGGGGUCAUCCCGACUUACCAACCCGAUGCAAACUACGAAUACCGAAGAAUGUUAUCACGGGAGACACACGGCGGGUGCUAACGUCCGUCGUGAAGAGGGAAACAACCCAGACCGCCAGCUAAGGUCCCAAAGUCAUGGUUAAGUGGGAAACGAUGUGGGAAGGCACAGACAGCCAGGAUGUUGGCUUAGAAGCAGCCAUCAUUUAAAGAAAGCGUAAUAGCUCACUGGUCGAGUCGGCCUGCGCGGAAGAUGUAACGGGGCUAAACCAUGCACCGAAGCUGCGGCAGCGACACUAUGUGUUGUUGGGUAGGGGAGCGUUCUGUAAGCCUGCGAAGGUGUGCUGUGAGGCAUGCUGGAGGUAUCAGAAGUGCGAAUGCUGACAUAAGUAACGAUAAAGCGGGUGAAAAGCCCGCUCGCCGGAAGACCAAGGGUUCCUGUCCAACGUUAAUCGGGGCAGGGUGAGUCGACCCCUAAGGCGAGGCCGAAAGGCGUAGUCGAUGGGAAACAGGUUAAUAUUCCUGUACUUGGUGUUACUGCGAAGGGGGGACGGAGAAGGCUAUGUUAGCCGGGCGACGGUUGUCCCGGUUUAAGCAUGUAGGCUGGUUAUCCAGGCAAAUCCGGAUAAUCAAGGCUGAGGUGUGAUGACGAGGCACUACGGUGCUGAAGUAACAAAUGCCCUGCUUCCAGGAAAAGCCUCUAAGCAUCAGGUAACAUCAAAUCGUACCCCAAACCGACACAGGUGGUCAGGUAGAGAAUACCAAGGCGCUUGAGAGAACUCGGGUGAAGGAACUAGGCAAAAUGGUGCCGUAACUUCGGGAGAAGGCACGCUGGUGUGUAGGUGAAGCCCCUGCGGGUGGAGCUGAGACCAGUCGAAGAUACCAGCUGGCUGCAACUGUUUAUUAAAAACACAGCACUGUGCAAACACGAAAGUGGACGUAUACGGUGUGACGCCUGCCCGGUGCCGGAAGGUUAAUUGAUGGGGUUAUCCGUAAGGAGAAGCUCUUGAUCGAAGCCCCGGUAAACGGCGGCCGUAACUAUAACGGUCCUAAGGUAGCGAAAUUCCUUGUCGGGUAAGUUCCGACCUGCACGAAUGGCGUAAUGAUGGCCAGGCUGUCUCCACCCGAGACUCAGUGAAAUUGAACUCGCUGUGAAGAUGCAGUGUACCCGCGGCAAGACGGAAAGACCCCGUGAACCUUUACUAUAGCUUGACACUGAACAUUGAGCCUUGAUGUGUAGGAUAGGUGGGAGGCUUUGAAGCGUGGACGCCAGUCUGCGUGGAGCCAACCUUGAAAUACCACCCUUUAAUGUUUGAUGUUCUAACGUUGGCCCCUGACCGGGGUUGCGGACAGUGUCUGGUGGGUAGUUUGACUGGGGCGGUCUCCUCCCAAAGCGUAACGGAGGAGCACGAAGGUUAGCUAAUCCUGGUCGGACAUCAGGAGGUUAGUGCAAUGGCAUAAGCUAGCUUGACUGCGAGCGUGACGGCGCGAGCAGGUGCGAAAGCAGGUCAUAGUGAUCCGGUGGUUCUGAAUGGAAGGGCCAUCGCUCAACGGAUAAAAGGUACUCCGGGGAUAACAGGCUGAUACCGCCCAAGAGUUCAUAUCGACGGCGGUGUUUGGCACCUCGAUGUCGGCUCAUCACAUCCUGGGGCUGAAGUAGGUCCCAAGGGUAUGGCUGUUCGCCAUUUAAAGUGGUACGCGAGCUGGGUUUAGAACGUCGUGAGACAGUUCGGUCCCUAUCUGCCGUGGGCGCUGGAGAAUUGAGGGGGGCUGCUCCUAGUACGAGAGGACCGGAGUGGACGCAUCACUGGUGUUCGGGUUGUCAUGCCAAUGGCACUGCCCGGUAGCUAAAUGCGGAAGAGAUAAGUGCUGAAAGCAUCUAAGCACGAAACUUGCCCCGAGAUGAGUUCUCCCUGAGACUUUAAGUCUCCUGAAGGAACGUUGAAGACGACGACGUUGAUAGGCCGGGUGUGUAAGCGCAGCGAUGCGUUGAGCUAACCGGUACUAAUGAACCGUGAGGCUUAACCUU
rnacentral:rRNA from 1 species